UGACAGUACUCCUACGGGGAGGCAGCAGUGAGGAAUAUUGGGACAAUGGAGGCAACUCUGAUCCAGCCCAUGCCGCGUGCAGGAAGACUGCCCUAUGGGUUGUAAACUGCUUUAUACAGGAAGAAACCGCUCUACGUGUAGAGCUCUGACGGUACUGUAAGAAUAAGGAUCGGCUAACUCCGUGCCAGCAGCCGCGGUAAUACGGAGGAUCCAAGCGUUAUCCGGAAUCAUUGGGUUAAGGUCCGUAGGUGGAUAAUUAAGUCAGAGGUGAAAGUCUGCAGCUCAACUGUAGAAUUGCCUUUGAUACUGGUUAUCUUGAGUUAUUAUGAAGUAGUUAGAAUAUGUAGUGUAGCGGUGAAAUGCAUAGAUAUUACAUAGAAUACCAAUUGCGAAGGCAGAUUACUAAUAAUAUACUGACACUGAUGGAACGAAAGCGUGGGGAGCGAACAGGAUUAGAUACCCUGGUAG
rnacentral:rRNA from 1 species